GACGAACCGAGCAAACGUUAUUCGGAAUCACUGGGCUUAAAGGGCGCGUAGGCGGUCUCGUAAGUCUGCGGUGAAAUCCUCCAGCUCAACUGGAGAACGGCCGUGGAUACUGCGAGUCUCGAGGGAGGUAGGGGCGUGCGGAACAGAUGGUGGAGCGGUGAAAUGCGUUGAUAUCAUCGUGGAACUCCGGUGGCGAAGGCGGCACGCUGGACCUCUUCUGACGCUGAGGAGCGAAAGCGUGGGGAGCGAACAGG
rnacentral:rRNA from 1 species